rnacentral:lncRNA from 1 species
AUAAGGUCUUUGUGUACUCAGCUAAGCUACCUUCUAUCUAUCCCCACCCAAAUUUCUCCUGCUCAAGUAGAACCAUUUCUCCAGUUUGUUACAACGGUUAUUAUUUAUACUGCUGGGGUUCAGAUGGUUUGUGGUCUGAUCUAAUUUGGUAACAUACAUAUGGAAAAAAAGAAAAGAGACUUCAUUACUUAGAAGGAAAACUCUCUCCAGUUGUUUAACACUGAAUCUUGAAGUAUCCACUGGAAUUCACCUUGUACUUUCCCAACACCCAAGGUUAGACGUCUGGGGCUUCUGGGCUGUUCGGUGGUUGUGAUAAUACUAAGGAUUCUCUUUGUUUGUUUAGUAUUAGUCACAUAUUUUCUCCACCCUUCCUCCUUUUCUUGGGCUUUGCAUCCCCACUGAGCAACCACAGAGGAUGACUUAUUUUCGACUUGGCUGCCGCCCCUUUCGAUCCCAGUGUCUGCUGCGAAACCAAGGGAUGGAAAGAUCACAGUGUGGUCUCAUGCCAGGUGGCAACCCGCGCCCGGGGUCCCGGGUGUGCUUCACUGUAGCUGCAAAUGCCCUGAAAAUGCGGGCAAAUGCUUGUGCGUGCAUGUAGUGAGACGACUUCCAGUGUCCAUCGCAACCUCACAGGGGCCCCACACCCUGGAAAGGUUAAGAACUCCGCCUCUAAGGCGUUUCACACGCAACGCUGUUUGCUGAAGAGAAAGCGCUAGUGUGACCAAGUCAACGUUCUCCUCGGCCAUCUCCGAAGAGAAUGAGAAACUCUAUGAUAAUUAUACACUAAGCAUCAGCUGCAAUGCUGAAGAUCAUAUCUUGAGUAUGAUCUGGGGGACUUGGCAUAAAUGAAAUGAUACGGAGGCCAUAAUCUAACACUUCAAAUAUUAAUCACUUCAAGCACCUCUCAGCUUCUACUUUUAUCCAAGUUAAUAUACUCUGUCUUCUUUGGAUACUUUUAGCUUAUUUGAUAACAGUAGAUUAAAACCAAAAUGUCAUAAAUCAAAAGAUCCUCUGCAUGUAAACAUUAUGCUGCUAGCCAGAAAGACAUGCCUUUCAUUAUUAACUAGUAGUAAUUAUAUUAUUUUGUUAAAAUAUACUAUUAUCUUCCAUACUUGUGUUAUAAAUAACACUACCCCCAAAAAUCACUUAAUAUAAAUGUGUCAAAAUCAAAACUGCUCUCGUGUCAAUACGCUAAAAAAAAUCUGUUUUUCAAAACAUCUCUUAACUCUUAACUUUCAUUGUUGUCUACGGGUUCUGUGGUCUUUUUAUAAUUAUCACCACACCUAGAGUAUUUUCUACAGGUCAAUAUAAAAUGUAAUAUAAAUGUGCCGGGGGAAAAAGGCUCUUUAAAGCUUUUCCUGCGAUGAAAUGCCAUUUAGAAAUUUAGAAGCAAGAACUCAUAAAAUCAGACAAUGCUGUCAUCCGUACUCACCACUGGACAGGCACACAACGGAGCCCCAGGCACAGGCUGGACUUGCGCUGGAAGCAAGAGACUGAAUCCCAUCGGGAGACCAGGCAGGUAGAAACAGCAAGUGGCAACACUACCUUUCUCCAGCUCAUCUUAUUUGCACAGACGCAGAUUUUGGAAGCCUCCAGGAUGAACAAUGAAAACCACACUAGGUUGUUUUCCCAAUUCCUAUGAAAUGAGUCAGUAGGUCAAACAACUUCUCCACUCGGGAGGGAGAAGGAUUUCUGAAACUGCACUCCCUGUUUCCAGGAACUGGAUUUCCUCUCUUUGCCCCUCGAUAAAAGUGCUGCCAGUAACCCAUGGCGGGCCCACUGGGUUCUGGAUGAGGCGCAUCACUGAUGCUGCCAGACGGGGAGCCUCGCUCGUGGAAACUUGCUCUGUGUGAAGAGGCAGGAGGACGACAGUCCAGCGAGGAGUAACACGUGGGUGAAGGUCUCUUCAUUUCAAAAGAGCUGGCGUAACUUCUUCUCCAUUAAACCAUGCAGUCAUUUAUUUCUUUCACACAAGAGGAUAGAGUGACACUUAAAAUACAGGAGAGCAGUAACUGUAGCUCUAAGAGACCCACAAACUGCUUCCUUCUGUAAGACAUCCUUUCUUCCUCCCAAGGACUAGUAUAUUCAAAAGAUUAUUCAAUUAAUCCACGCUCUGCAAAACCUUUCACAGGCUUCUGGGAGUCUUGCAGCUCCAUGCAUUAAAUCAUAUAAGGCACAGCAAGUAUUUAAGAGCUUGCUGGCAGUCCUCUGAAUCCAUGACUCAAGAGGACGAACACUGGAUUAGCAAUGAUCUUCGGAGUCUACCACCUACUCACCGCACAUAACACUGCUCGGAGUUAGCAACCUGCUGCAUAGGAGACCACCAGUUACGGCAAUGAACUCGUGAUUUCAAGGACUCGUGCGUUCAGGCAAGUACAUGGACGUGGAUCUCUAAACACAGGUACAGAGAUCUUCUGUGACAGCUCGUCAGGAGGAGAGUGGAAAUACUUUUGCUUUCUGUAUCGAGAGUACUUUCUUUCUUUGUAAAGAGGAGGUUUCGUUUUGAUCUUGAGAAAUUCUCUCUGAUAAAAACCACCAACGGAAAACCUGCCAUUAUAAACGAGGGAUUUCACAACAUUCAUUCCAAAAAACUGUGGCUAUUCAUUUCUGGAAGUGAUUCACUGCACAAGAAUCGUUGCUGGCGGUGGAGGGAGCAUUCAUUUUUAGAAGACAGCCCGCCCCCUGAGUAGGGAGCAGAGACCUCAGAGACGGCGGCCACGUGCCUUGCUGACCCCUCAUCACAGCUCCCUGAGUCACUGUCCACCACGAUGACGAGCGAUGACCAAUUUCCUCUCACAACUCCCUCAGUACACAAAACCCCUUUGGUCUGUAUACCCCGAGUACUCCCCUGCUCUGGUGGAAAUGCUCAAAUAAAUCUGGGAGGGCAGCAGCAGUACCUCCACCUGUCAGCGCUCAGCUGGUGAAUAACCGGCGUGUGGACACUCACUUCCUGUGAGUAUUUCUAAAAGAGCUCAUGAUAUUUCCUUUGGAAAAAAAAAAAGUGGGAAGGAAAGUGAUACAAGGAGAAGUAACUCCAACAAGCAAAGCUGAAAGCAGGCAACGUGAUCGCUGUUUACCAGCCACGCCUAAUUUUAAUUUGGUUUCUCAACCCUUGUGUAAUUAAGACAGCCAGAAGAGAACAGCACAGCAUCGGGAGGAAGAAAAAGAAAAAGACAUUUCACAAAUGCUUAGACCUUCAGUGCGCGUGACCAGAAAAGUAAUUUUAAGAUGCGAGUGAACCAAUCUGAAGCUGUUUAGAGUAUUAACCCUUUGAGAAAAACAAAGUUAUUUCCGCUUGCCCCUAAAUUUCAAAUAUGGAAAUGAUCUUCCCUCCUGGGCGCUGAGACACUGAAGACACAGCCUCUGAGUGUCAUCCCUGGGGUUUGGGAGAAGAGGGGCCUUUUUCAGAUAUGUCUGUGAUGGGGGCAGAAAAACACUUGUUUUAAGACCUCAUCAUGUUAACAGUGACUGCUUGGUUUUCGAAUCAAAGCAUCCUUUGAAAGCCAACCACAAAGGAGUAAAAUAUGACCUUUUGUAUGUAUUUCUCUCGACUUUAACCAAACCUGAUCACUUAUAGCAGAGUAGAAUUUCUUGACAAUUGGGCAAAUUGAGUAAGAAAAAUUGCUUUUCUCUUAAAGAGCAUCAAUGUGACAGAGCUCAUUUUCUGAAGGGACUAGUAGACAAAGAAUAUGGAAACCACUUGCAUGGCAUGAAUAUAAUCUUCAAAUUGAGGAUGAAUAAAAACAGCAUCAAUAACUGAACUGAAGAAUUUAACGCAAACCAACGAUGCUAUACAACAGGCAUCCCUCUGCCCUCACUCUCAAGACCUUAGGAACUUGCUCAAUAGACAGGGGAACACCCAGCCUAACGUCAAAAGGACAGGAACCCUACACGGGGUGCAACUGCACAUACCUACGACCUACAAAAAUCUUAUUGAUUGAGGCUGGUGAACAAUUAGAGGCCAGAAGGCUACUCAAAUAUUAGCAUAUCUAAUGUCCCCUCUCCCUGUGUCACGUUCACACAGAGGUUCACAGUUCCCAAAGCUCCUGUGCAAGUUGUUCCCAUCACAGACUGUGCUUUAUAUGAAAAUUCCUCUUAAGUCCUGGGUGGCCAAUGCUGAUGUCUUAAAAAGAGAAAGGAAAAGUAGAGCAAAAUAGGAUAAAGAUCAUAAAAAUACAUGCUUGUGGGGAAUAACACAGAGAAUGUGAACCCAACAGACGUGACUGUCGCCAAGAAGCUGUGGCCUGCUAGGAACGCCUGUAAAUGGGGGAGGGGGAAGGACCAUUCCUAAGGUUGGGUAUUUAAAAUGGGAUCAGACUAUAGGGACACUCAGGUCUUGCUGUAAUUUGUUCUGCUGUGGACAUCAUUCAAGCCCAAGUUUACAGAAUCAGUGUCUGCUCUCCAGACCCCUGGGCCCACCGUCCCCUCACUUCCCCAAACGGAACAAAACCCUGUCACAAAUGUUCUUCAUAGUGGUCACUGACUGAAAGUUUGCUCUUAAACAACGGGAAGGAGUGCACUCUUUGGCGGCACUGUUAUAGAAAGGAGGGGGUGUGGCCUCAAGCAGGAAGGGCACGUGACCCAACACGGGAAGUCAGGGGGCCUCGUGUUCCACUCCCACCUCUUUUCUGAGCUGCUCUUUGCCCUGGUUCAGAUCACCCAACCUCUUUAAGCCGGUUUAAUAGCCUGUGCUAAAAGCCAACUGACGCCCAGGACCGGUUUAGGCACUACCAAGAAACUACUCGGGAUCUGUUCAUUUAAUCCCCCUGGCAACUCGAGAUUCUUUAGUUAUUCCCUUCCUACCGAUAAGGAAACAGGGCCCCUAGGAGUUGAAAGACUUGUCCAGAGUCACGCCAUCAGCAGGUGGUUGGAGGUGGCAUUUGAAUCCAGGGAGCCUGCCCUUGCCGGCUCUGCUGGAGCCAUCCCUCAGCACGUCUGCCCCUUGCACCAGGGUUCGAUGAGUGUCAGGUGAAACCUCUCUUACGAAACUGCCUUGAAUAUUACUCAAGGCAGGUUUUUACGCGUGCCACUUGCAAAUAUAUUCUCUGCAGAAUUCAAAAAACACCAAUGGGAACUAAGUACCGGUAACUCUAACACAUUUGUUUGUUCCCGAGAACAGUUUUGUGUAAUUUGCUUAAACGACUUCUUUGCAAAAUGUGUGGUACUGAGUUUUAGAGGUAGAAGGGAUCUUAGAGAUCCGGUUUUCAGUCAGUGUGGUGAAGUGAGGCUUCCUGUCCCAGAGGGAAGGCUCGAACCUCUGCCAAGGCUGCGCCCCACGGUGGCUGUGCCCGCACUAGAACUGCAAAGCCCUUCUCGGGUAGCGUGAUCAGACUGUCAGGCAUCCACUCACUUGUGGGACACAUAUGUGUAUAAUAUGAGUCCUCAGGAAUGUGUGAGUUAGACGGCUUCUCACUACAAGCGCCUCAGGCUUUCAGAAGCAGAGAAAGAUGAGAGAAAAAAAUCUUUCCUUCCUGUUUUCUUUCUUCAAGUCAGGGAAAAACAAAGCCUCUAUGUAAGUUCUCCUAUGAUGACAUAAUUGAAGUUCUGCUCAAUUUUUUCUUUUCUCGUAAACUUGCUCAUCUGCAGAGCUGCUGAAACUCUCUUUCCCACGUGUUUAUGGAACAUGGAAAUCGGCAGGAUUAAAAGCUAGGGGCCCGCCUUGGCUUCGAUGGUGGUUGAUAAUUUGCUUAUUUUACUCUUCAAGGGAAAAGAAGGGUAUUCAAGCUCUUCAUGCUAUUUAUUCUAUAAAGUUUGGCCUUAUUAUUUUCACUUAGAAUUUUUUUAAUGGGUCCCUGUCAUAUUGGGUCACAGUAAAAUACUGAAAAAUACCUCUUCCCAAAACAAAGACAUUUGUUGAUAAGAAAAAUUAGGAAAAGAAAGAAAUAAGAACACAUUCUGGUUUUAUUUCCACUUAAGAGAGCAGAGCUUUUGGGAAAUUUAUGUACGUUACAUUUAUAAGCAGGCACUUUUUUUUCCCCUCCAAGAUUGAUUUGGUGUGAAAAGUUACUUCCUGUACUGUAAUCAUAAAAUCAAAUGUUAUUUACUCCUGUUAUAACCAUUCACAUACUUCCUGUCAUAAAACUUGAACUUGGCUGGAAUAGUAAAUGAAAUAUCCAAAAAACUACAGGUAGGAAGUGACUGUAUGGAUACAUAUGACAAGUCCAUAUUCCAAUCUGAGAAAGGGUCUUCACCUCUCCUUGGAAAAACCGGUAUCAUGCUUUAUCAUCUUGGUGGACUAAUUCCAGUUAUGGCCCACACGAACUUUAAGGGUGAAAAAGAGCUUUCUCAAUUUACUGAGCUUCAUCAAUAGGUUAGUGGCAGCUUAAGGAUGCCCCCCUAGGGGGACCCUGUGUGUGUAGUGGGCUGCGAUGUUCAUGCCGAGUUCACGGCCCCAAGUUAGAAUCAAGAAGGGUCAAACACUUAGGUGGGGUAGAUGAGCACAUUUAAGAUGCGUGUGUACAUUUUUCUUGGAUGCCUGCACACUUCUAGACGAAAACAAGUUUCUAAAUUCCUAGGCUUCUGUGUGUCUGGUGGGAAAAGCAGAGCCAGUGUACACAUACAAUGAUAGAAGAGAGUGUGCAUGAACAGAUUUGUUUACAAAACAGGGCCCAGCAAAGUCUGUCUCUCCGGGCCGCAGCAGGAUCCAUCCAACAAAACAAACACACAGACACGGAAGAAUCUAUGGGAACAGCGCUUCUUUCUGGCGGAGGUAGAACAGUUUGUAAUGAUAACUGGGCAGAAUGAUAACUGGGCAGUAAGGCCUUGACGUGGGAAUAUGCCACAAGAUCCCGUUGAGCACACGCACACACAGAGGUGCAUAUACUUCUACAGAGCACAACGGUUUCAACUGUCCUUCUUCGGCAUUAGAGUCUCAAAUAUAUUUCUUCAGCACAGGCACCUUCUCCUACUGUCAAUACUUGCAACUGACAGGGUGGUCCCUUUAAAUUCAUUGGGAAACCACAAAACCAACAAAUUCUGCUAAUUUGAGUUUAAUUAAUUGUAUGGCCAUCUGACCGGGAUGGAAAGCUUGGACCCUUGACCUCCUUCUUUAACGGAGGAGUGCUGAGCCAGUCGGUCGCCAGGUCUAAUCAACACUUGUUUCCAGCCAUUCCCACUUCUAAGAAAUAUGUCGGCCCUCCUUCACUUAGUUCUUGGACAAGUAUGACAGCCUUUUUUAAGUGGUUCACUUGCCCAUGAGCAACUGUGGCAGAAAAGGCACAGUCAAGAGUAGGAAGACUGGGUCCUGGGUUUGGCUGUGCCAGCUGCAAACCACAGGGUCCUGAGAAAGUUAUAUGAUUUCCUCGGGCCUCAGGGUUCUCACCUACAGCAUAAAGAAAAUGGCUCUCAUUAUACGAUCUAAUUCAUGACAGACAGAGUCAGCAAAUAUCAUCUUCUGAAAUUUAGUUUCCUCGGGUAACAGCACACCUUAAAAUUCUUCAGUGACUUUGCUGAAGUUGAAGUUCCUCAGCCUGGACUGAAUGUCAAAGCCUCCUAAAUUACAAGACCUGAUAGAAAUGCAAGCAGCCCUAAGAGGGAUAAUGUUUCUUGAGCUGCAUACACUAUGCAAUAUCCAGGAAUUUUAUGGGCUCUAAUCCCAUGACCACUCCACAAGGUUGGUUUUAUGACUCUACAUUACACACCGAGAACCUGAGGUUCUGUCCAUAAUUUGCCCUAAAACCUAUUAAGUGCCAGGAAUGGCAUACAAAUCUACAUGUGGUUGAUUAUAAAGCCCACUAAGCCAUCUCGAGUGCUUUAAAUGUACCAUAAUAUGGGAGGGGGUGUCCCUAAUUACUAGAGUGAUCAUUCUCUGAGUCCCAGUGGUUACCAGGCUACUUAAGGAAGCACCGAUCAUCAGAAUAUUAAAAACAAUGACGAAGUGACCACUUCGUCUCUUGUCUUCAUCUAUUUAAUCCUCAGCAUCUAUUCCCACUCACUUCCUUGGUUGGUUAGUAUCACAGAAUAAAAAUGCAAAUAGAGCGUAGUUCACUUGUAACAUGAAACUGCAGUUUUACACAUAGUUGAUAA